rnacentral:lncRNA from 1 species
GUUUUUCUGUACUUUUAAUGAGCUAGAAAAUGCAUACUAUAAAUAGAAUAUACAAAUGAUUUUACACAAAUGAAGCAUUAAAAAUCACAAAUCUUAUAUUUGGUUAUCCACAGUCUAUAAAAUAAUGUUCCCAAAUUAUAUAGUUUAAAAUACACAAUGUUUCAAGUUGCAAGACAAAACCAGGGUAGUUUUGGCCCUAAAUCAUAGCUAACAUAAGUAGGAAUUAUAAUUAAUUUUAUAAUUGUGUUUAAAUUUUAAAUACUCUAGAAUCUGAAAAUAUUAAAUAUUAAAUAGAUGGAGGGAUCAAAUUAUCAAGUUUUUUAACAAAAUUGAGGUAAAAAUCUGCAUUAAAUUACACCAAGAAAAACAUUUCUAAAACAUUGUUUCCAUAACUCAUUAUAAAUAUUUCAUCUUCCGAAAGUACUCUUUGAUUACCUCUGGCCUUCUGGGUCUGGUAAUUAAGUUGACUUAAUAUUUGCACAUAGCUACUGAUUACUCAAUACAGGCCUAUCAGAUAAAACUAAAAUGCUGCAACUUAAUCAGAAUGAUGCAAUCUUGUCUUAUAUAAAUAUACAAAUCACAGUAUGCUGACACUAGAUAACUUCAGCUUUAUUUGCCAAAGGGGAUUUAGAAUAUACUACAAAAUUGUAUAUAAAAUAACCCUUUACAAGGAUUUACUAGGAUGACUGCAAAGAAAGGCAAAUUAAAUAUACCUGGUCCCAUAUAAGAAUUGUUGCCUAACCUCAUAUACUAAUUUGAAUAUGAAGACUCACUUUUUAUUUCUUAUUUUUUUGAAACAGGGUCUCGCUCUGUCACCCAGGCUGGAGUGCAGUGGUGUGAUCUCAGCUCACUGCAACCUCUGCCUCUUGGGUUCAAGCGAUUCUCCUACCUCAGCCUCACAAGUAGCUGGGACUACAGGCGUGCACCACCAUGCCUGGCUAAUUUUUUGUAUUUUUAGUAGAGAAGGGGUUUCUCCAUGUUGGUCACACUGGUUUUGAACUCCUAAUCUCAGGUGAUCCACCCGCCUCGGACUCCCAAAGUGCUGGGAUUACAGGUGUGAGCCACCGCACCUGGCCUGAAUAUAAAGACUCAUUUUAAAUUAUACUAGUUGAACCUUUAUACUACAAUGUAUCCUGGCACUUAUUUUUUUUAAACCAUUAUCAGAUAUUUCAUGUUCUACUAGUAAAGGGAAUUCGCAUUUUCAAUGUCCUGUCUGCAUUCCUCCUAGCCUCUCUCUGCUCAGGUUUUGGAAAAUAGAUCUUUCAAAUGCAAUUGCAGUAUCCAAGGAAAUUCCUCCCACCCAUGCCACCAGUGCUCAUCCUGUGGGCACCCCACAGUCAGCAGUUUAAGACCAUUCUGGAUGAAUGCAAAUGCUUGAUUCAAUUUUCCCAAAUCCCAAUCAACUAGCUACAGUUUUUAUUGUAUGCAAUCUUCCCAACAUUGCAGUAAAGCAGUCUAGAUGGCUGGGGAAAGGUAAAAGAACCCCGGUUGUGAUUAUUUUUUUCUAACAAAAUGGAAUUAAAAGAUGAGAAAACCUCGUAGUAUUUUAGUCUGGUACUUUUAGCAUCCCCAACUUUUAAGAUUAUAAAUUCACAAUAGUGAACACCCUAGUGACAACUUUUAAAUAAAAUACUGGAUAGCUGGGCGCAGUGGCUCACACCCGUAAUCCCAGCACUUUGGGAGGCCGAGGCGUGUAGAUCACUUGAGGUCAAGAGUUCAAGACCAACCUGGCCAACAUGGUAAAACCUCCUCUCUACUAUAAAUACAAAAAAUUAGCUGGGCGUGGUGGUGCAUGUCUGUAAUCCCAGCUAUUCGGGAGGCUGAGGCAGGAGAAUCACUUGAACCCAGGAGGCAGAGGUUAGAGUGAGCCGAGAUCGUGCCACUGCACUUCAGCCUGGGCAAUGGAGUGAGACUCUGUCUCAAAAAAAAUAAAAAAUAAAAAAUAAAAUACUGCAUAAUUACAUGCUAUAGUAAAUUAAUCAUACACUCAAAAUUUUAGCUUGGAUUUGUUUUGCAACUGAUUUGAUGCUGUCUGAAAAUCAAGAUCAAGCAGGUGAUGAAAACUAUACCUUUUGAACAUGCAUUAGGUAACCAGGGGGCAACAGAGUAGGGACUAAUAAGGCCAGCAACUCAGGGAAAUUAGCCUAUUCAUCUGAUAUAUUUGGCCUCCAUAAAACUGCCAUGGAUUCCAACUGUACUCAAAUAUAAUACAACUUCUUCAAUGCUGCUUUAUAAAUCUGACUGAAAACCUUAUUUAAGGAGUCAAGAUGCUGAACACCCUAACAAAAGCAAAAACAAAAUUACGGCCUAUGUGGUGUCACUGUUAUUACCACUCUUUACAAAGCACUAAGUACACAUAGGUGUUUGGCAUUGUCUCUGGAACUACAAAACUAUGGCCUAUGUGGUGUUUGGCAUUGUCUCUGGAACUACAAAAUUAAACUUUUAGAAUCACAGCAUUUUACACCUGAGAGGAAUCUUAAAAGAUACUGAAUUUCGCUUCUCACUUUAUAGCUGAGAAGAGUGAGGGAAGGACGGACCAUGGGAGUCAGCAUUUUUCAAGCAUCCAGGCACGCUGGGCCUGGUAUUUCAAUUAGAGUUUCUCAUUCUCACAGUCUCAGGCAGGUUGCAUUAACCUCCACUUCACAGCUAAGUAAAUGCGGAUCUACCAGAUUGAAUAAUCUCCCCCAAAUAAAUUCACUAAUGAGGAACAGAAGGAAUCCAACGUCAGAGUUAGUGCUCUUCUCAGAGUAAUAAUCUGCAAAGUGUGGUCCUGGGACCAGCAGCUGGGGCAUUACCUGGACGCUUGUUAGAAAGGCAAAUUACCAGGCCCACCAUCCCCACCGCCAGACCUACUGAAUCAGAAACUCUAGGGUGGCCCCCAGCAAUCAAGUUUUUGGUUUUGUUUUUUUAACAGACAGGGUCUCACUUUGCUGCCCAGGCUGGACUGCAGUGGCCCAAUAAUAACUCACUGCAGCCUCGAACUCCUGGGUUCAAGUGAUCCUCCUGCCUCAGACUCCCAAGCAGCUCAGACUACAGGUAUGCACUACCAUGCCUGUUUGUUUUUUGUUUUUGUUUUUGUAGAGACAGGGGUCUUGCUGUAUUGCCCAGCCUGAUCUUGAACUCCUGGGCUCACGUGAUCCUCCUGCCUCAGUCUCCCAAAGCACUGGAAUUACAGGCAUGAGCCUGUGUUCUCCCCUCUCUUCCAAUAAUGUGUAUUCAACAAGGCCUUCAGGUGAUGCUGAUGCUGUCUGAAAGCCACUGCUCUCCAGCAUGUGGUCUCUGAAACUUUACUUAGGAGUAUGCAUAUUAAAAUAUAUAUAUAACUUAACACUAUGCUACUACAAAGGGCAAAAUAAUUCACUUUAUUGUACUUUAUUUUAGAAUAAUUAAGACAAGGAUAGGCUUCAAUGAAAUUUUGCUUUGAUGUUACAUGGUCUGACUGACACUGGAUUUCUUCAUAAGAAAAAUAAAUGUGAAAGCUAUUCCAAGUAAGCAAAUGGUGGCAAAAACAAUCUAAAGAAUUGGUUUUAGCCAGGCAUGGUGGCUCAUGCCUGUAAUCCCAGCACUUUGGGAGGCCAGGGCGGGCAGAUUACUUGAGCUCAGGAGUUCAAGAGCAGCCUGGCCAACAUGGUGAAACCCCAUCUCUACUAAAAACACAAAAAUUAGGCAAUAUAGCAAGACCCCAUCUCUACCAAAAAUACAAAAAAACUAAUCAGGAAUGGGGGCACAUGCCAGUAGUCCCAACUACUCAGGAGACUGAGGUGGGAGGAUGGCUUGAGCUUGGGAGGUUGCAGUGAGCCAAGAUCCUGCCACUGCACUCCAGCCUGGGUGACAGAGUGAGACCCCAUCUCAAAAAAAAAAAAAGAAUUUCAUCUCAUGUCAAAAAUAAGACUCUUGGACAGAAAUCUUCUGCCUGCCUUCCAAGGACCCACUGAAAUUAAUGGAUACUCUCACAUGACUGACUUUAUUAUUAAAUACUUGCUGUAAUCACAACUAGGCAUAGGAAAAUCAAGUAGAGAAAUACUGAAUGCCUAGCAUACAACGAUCUAAGUGAAAGUUAAUAAAAGUAGCUCUUCAGAAAGACAUCUCAUGUAAAAUUAAAUUUAAAACUAAAAAUUUCAUGAAGUGACCUGUUAAGAGUUUCAAUUUAGAAGCUUUACUUUUCUAAUUUUAAAAUAUCAUGAAUGAAAUGGUGUCUUCAUCUAGGUGCUUCUCCAUCAAAAUCCCUAGCUCAAAAAUAAAAAUCAUGUUUGUGUCACCCCAGAUUCAAAAUGCUGUUAUUGGAAAUGUUACCAUUUCACAUGAACAUUCCAGUAAAUAUGCACAUAGAGGGUACUCAUUACUUUUGGUUGGUAAUUUUUCCUUAAAUAUAUUUCAAUGAUUUCAUUGUUUGACAUUUUCAUAGUUAACGUAUACUGAAUACAGAAAAUUUUGUAGGAAAACACUAUUUUUUAAAUGUAGUAACAUUAAAAUAUUAAAAUAUCCCGUUUAUUAAAGGCUCUUAAGAUUUAAAGAAAAAUUUCCUGUGCACAUACAAUGUACCUAUGAAAUACUGUAUUAUUAGUUAUUGUACAGGCAAAUGAGGCUGUUACUAUAAAAAAAAUGUGGUGUCUAAAAAUUGCAAGUCUAUGUGAAAAAUCAACCUCAAUUUAUCUAAAUGGGAUUUGGGGGACACGGCAGACUAUUAAAAUAGAACUCAAACUUCAAAUUCUGUAAACUGAACAUCUCAUUAAUGCCACUUCACCAUUUAAAAAAGUCAGCACACAAUGUUAGCUAUGUAAGUUUAUCUGCAGAUGUUACAGGUAAUUAUUUCUGUUAACUCCUCCUAAAAUAUUAUUUAGUAAUAAAGAAUAUUUCAAAAGGAGAGUAGGUAGAAACGAAGAUCAUAACUAUACUUACUUAAUAUGAAAAUGACAUUUCAUUUAUUUGCUAAUAUGUGGAAAAAAAUUUUCUAAUUAAUUCCUCCUUUAUCCUUCUUUAAAAACAUUUUAUUUCUUCAACCAGCACACUGAGGAUUAGUGCUAUGGGUAUUACCACAGUGCCCUGUGAAAAGACUUGGCUUCCAGAGAAGUCAUACCUUGCAUACCCUGGAGUCAUACCUCAAAUUGGCUCUGCAUGAUUGAUUUUACAGCGGGCAUUAAAAUUCUUCUGAAACAAGGCUGUGUACCUUUGAGAACAUUCACAUUUAACCUUGUGAGCUCACUUCUACAAGAACAAUGAACUUAUUUGUCAGCUGCCAGGGGGAAAAUCAGCUUAAUGUAAAGAAUUAAUUAAAUCAGGUUGACAGAAGCCAAUAUCUCAAUGUUUUUAAAUUAAAAUUUAUUUAAAGGAAUAAGUAUGGGUGCAUUACAUAAACCUAAUGGUUCUUCUAAGCUUCAAAAAGCAUUCAUUUCAAAAGUAUUCACUUUUUUUUUUUUUGAGACGGAGUCUCGCUGUCGCCCAGGCUGGAGUGCAGGGGCACGAUCUCGGCUCACUGCAGGCUCCGCCUCCCGGGUUCACGCCAUUCUGCUGCCUCAGCCUCCCGAGCAGCUGGGACUACAGGCGCCGCCACCACGCCCGGCUAAUUCUUUGUAUUUUUAGUAGAGACGGGGUUUCACUGUGUUAACCAGGAUGGUCUCGAUCUCCUGACCUCGUGAUCCGCCCGCCUCGGCCUCCCAAAGUGCUGGGACUACAGGCGUGAGCCACCACGCCCGGCCCAAAAGCAUUUACUGUUAAGGCUGCCUCAUUUUUCAGCUUUGUUGUAGUUGAGAUUCUGAUGUUCACCUAACAAAGUCCCUGACAAAACAGACUUCCUUCAAUCCAGGUCAUAAUUUGAAACGUUAUACAAUAAUGAGAUUUAAGUGAUGAAUGGAAAGAAAAGAAGGAGACUGAAAAGAUAUCAGAAAUUUCUAUUUGUUUUUAGAUUCAGAAAAAUAUAAUUACAGGCCAACAUGGGUCUGACAGAGAGGAAGGACGUCAGCAGUUAC